CGAGUACUUUAGGGGUGUCUGUUGAUAAAACAGACUGAGAUUUUACCCUUUGAACCUGAUCUGGAUCAUACCAGCGUAGGGAAAAGUGAGAUGACUUUC
rnacentral:ncRNA from 2 species